GACAUGUUUCUCACACGGAGUGCAAAGUAAGGAGCUGCUGAUUUUUGGAUCUUCUCACCACAAAGUUUUCCGGUUGUUAAGGACAUGCUUUGGCUAAAGGGGACUGGUUUUAUGUCUUAGGUGAAAGAUGAGUUCAGGAGGAGAACUACUGUACAGUCCACCUGGGGCGAGUGUUUGUCUUGCACUUUUACUUGCAUCUAUUUUUUUUUUUUCUGCAAGACUUCAGAAAAAAGUUUGAAAGAUUGAUAUCAUUUAUUUUGUCCUUACACUGUGACACUUAUUUGUUUUUAUUUGUUUUCCAUUUCCAUUUUUUACUCUUGUGUAGUAAAUGAGACUUUACAAA